rnacentral:rRNA from 1 species
CCUACGGGAGGCAGCAGUGAGGAAUAUUGGUCAAUGGACGAGAGUCUGAACCAGCCAAGUAGCGUGAAGGAUGACUGCCCUAUGGGUUGUAAACUUCUUUUAUAUGGGAAUAAAAUGUUCCACGUGUGGGAUUUUGUAUGUACCAUAUGAAUAAGGAUCGGCUAACUCCGUGCCAGCAGCCGCGGUAAUACGGAGGAUCCGAGCGUUAUCCGGAUUUAUUGGGUUUAAAGGGAGCGUAGAUGGGUUGUUAAGUCAGUUGUGAAAGUUUGCGGCUCAACCGUAAAAUUGCAAUUGAUACUGGCAGUCUUGAGUACAGUUGAGGUAGGCGGAAUUCGUGGUGUAGCGGUGAAAUGCUUAGAUAUCACGAAGAACUCCGAUUGCGAAGGCAGUUCACUGGACUGCAACUGACACUGAGGCUCGAAAGUGUGGGUAUCAAACAGGAUUAGAUACCCUUGUAGUC